ACGCUCGACACCUGAGGCAGCAGUGGGGGAUAUUGCACAAUGGAGGAAACUCUGAUGCAGCGACGCCGCGUGAGGGAAGAAGGUUUUCGGAUUGUAAACCUCUGUCUUCGGUGACGAAAAUGACGGUAGCCGAGGAGGAAGCCACGGCUAACUACGUGCCAGUAGCCGCGGUAAUCUGAGCGGGCUGGCAAGGC
rnacentral:rRNA from 1 species